CGGAUGUGAAAAUGUGGAGGGAGCGGCAGUUACCUUCUUUGUAUUGUUUGCAUUACGAGUGUUGAUAGAAAUUACACAGUUUAGGUACUGUCCUAAUCGAAUAGUGAAUCUUCACAUAAUUUGGUAGAAUGUGAUUUAAGCUUUAAAAUGCAUCCUUCCUUGCUAUAAACUUACUGAUUCCUUUCUGAAGUUGUACGAGGUCAGUGUUAUGGUACGGGUGUGUCCUUUUCGAAGUUGUACGAGGUCAGUGUCUGGUUUGAUUUGCUCGUCCUUGCCGUCACCCGUUUAGAAGCGCUUCUGAUAUGAUUUUGGCCGUCCUCACUGUCGCCCUUAUGCUCUUGCGUGGUCUUGGGGCCGUCUCGUCAGGGGUCUCUGUCCCAUGACUCUGGUAGCAAGCGAGCGAGCGGUCCGUUUGGGUCACUGUCUGGUUUGCGAACUAACAAGUCUGUUUGACAAACACGUGUGCUUCUGUUAUCUGAGGAUCCUGCGUUUCGUGUUCGCGGUGGAGCGAUGAUUCCCGCGUUUCUGUUUGAGAAACUUGUGCGUGCGCUUCUGUUAUCUGACGAUCCUGCAUUUCGUGUUCGCGUCGGGGCGACGGUUGCAGGAACGAUCGGUUCUGGUUUCGAAAUUGAAGCAGUGUCAAAUUGGUUCCUCUGUUCCAUCACCUGUCUCCCAUCCUAGAUGCAGAGAAUCUUGUUCUUGUCUGUUACGGUUGUUCUGAUGGUGUUCUUUUCAAUUGGUUUCUUGUUAUCAUGCUUUGCUUAUGUUCCCAUAUAUGGUGAUGUGUGUUCAGGGGUGCAAACCAUGUAGGCCGUAGGUUCCGUGAUGUGAGGCUUCUCUCCUGCUGAUAAAUUAGGAUGAUAGGCUGAGAAGAAAAGUUUGACUCUUGUAACAAUCACUUGCUGGGUUUCCACUUCUUUGCGUUGCCGAUUUGACAUCCAAUGCCUAUCUUAUUUAUCAUAAUCAUGUUUUCCCUUCUUUUUCUAACCAAUAAUCAUGUUUAUCAUGGUGUUCGACAAUACUCCAUUUCUACUGUUCUUCGUUCCCUUUUGUAGUUCACUGAUUCAAAUUUGAUGUGGAAGGUAGGAAUAUUGAUCACUUUAUGUCUAUAUGGCACGAUUGAUUGUUGUUUGUUUAUGGUUGUUAAGAUUGAUUGAUUGAUUGAUUGCUGUUUGUUGAUUGAUUUACUACUGUUUGUUUACCGGUAUCUAACUUUGGUAUUGGUAGACCUAGCACUAUUCUUUUUUCUGAACUUCUUUGUGAUUAUGUCUUAUGUGGAUAUCAUAUUCUAUUUUUGUAUUACUGCUCAUUGGAAUAACGCUUUUCUAAGUAUUUAAGGUACAAACAUUUGGAUCUAGACAUAUCACAUUUGCUCUUUAUUGUGUGGCUAAGGACAUUGAUGGGUUGAGUUGGCAUAUAUCGCAUGUAUAUUUACGUUCUUUACAUUUUGCGAUGCUGAUGCCUGUAGUCCCAAAGCGUUUAUUUAGCCAAGUAUGAUGUUUGUGCUCAGAAUGAUGUAUAUGUAGAAUCCAGGGGUGGAUGGAUGUUUUCAUGAUGGCUAAUUUGAUUCGUUAUGGUUGUUCGGAUGGUGUGCUUCUGGUGGUUGAACUGAAGUCGUGGAUCGCUCAUCAUCCUGCUAAGCACUUCUGGAUAGGACAGAUGUACAAUGUUUGCAUACAUGGAAGAAGGUUCUUCUGAUUGUUCAAAGGUCCUUGUUCAUCAAAGGUCCUUGGACUCAAGAGGAAGAUGAAAAAAUUAUUGAUCUUGUAAGCAAGUAUGGACCAACAAAAUGGUCUCAUUUCAAGGUCCUGGAUGUAUAGGCAAGUAAUGUUGAGAGAGGUAUUCUUCUGAUUGUUCUAUUUUUAUGGUUUGCUGAAUGCAUUUCCCCCCUCCGUGCAACACAAACGUGGAAUGUUUGCUAAGUUUUAACACACUGGUUACUUCCAUUUGUGUACUUGUAUUUGUGUAACUUCUAUUUGUUCUCAGUUCUUCUCACCUAUAGCUAAAGUCAAAGACGAAAAACCAGGUGAAUUAUUGGAGUUGCAAGAUACACAGAAUCAUCGGAACGAAGAUCUGAAUCACCCUCACCCCUCUAGAGAAAUAAGUUUACUCAUUCAGAUUCUGGAAUUUUUUUAUAGCUUUCUGAAUUUACUUUGUUCUUGCAUGUAUUAGCUUUCUGUUUGUGCCCCAAUCUGUCUAUUUCUUUCUGUUUCUUGUGUGGAAGCGCUCCAUUGUGUGUGUGUGACCGUGUGCAUGUGAUGUGCCCCUAUCUAUCUCUGUUUCUUGUGUGCAAGCGCUCCACUGUGUGUGUGUGUCUGACUCUGUGUGU